CAUUGAAAUUUGGAUGACAAACUGUAUGGUUGGACAGAAUGCCUGAAUGGAAUAUAUUCUUUGCUCAUUAGGCCAACCAUGCUCUACACCUAGACCUGAUGUUUAGGUCAUCUUCCUAAAAUAUCUCAUUCCAUGGGCAAGGCCUUCAAUGCAUUGGACGAGACUCAUCCAUACUGGGGAGAGCAAUCUGCACUUCUCAGUCUACAGAUUCAACUGUUAAUUUCAUCUACAAACACUCUUACAGACACACCAGAAUAAUGUUUCACCCUGCCCAGACAAGCUGACACAGAAAACAAUGAACCAUCACAGUUGCUGUGUCAGCAAUUAAAAAUUUCCACUAGAUAUGAACAAUUAUAUUUCUGGUGCAAAAUUAAAACAUUAGCCUUCCACUUUAUAUAUUAAUUUCUGUUGACUAAUAUAAAACAAUACCUGAAAAAUAAA